AGAGAUAGAUAGAUAGAUAGAUAGAUAGAUAGAUAGAUAGAUAGAAAGAAAGCAGAGACAGAUCCUAACCAAGUACAGGCUCAGUGACCACAAACUGGCAAUCGAAAAAGGAAGACACAAAAAGUAGUAGAGUAGAUGGACAGCAUUACACCUGUAAGACAAAAUGGAAACAUACAUUCGAUUGUUGUUUCAAUAUAAGAAAUCCAACUAAGCAACUUAUACCUGAAGCUAAAAUGGCAUUAAAGGUGUCUGCUUUUAAUGUCUUCACAUGAACAGAGUGUAAAAUCAUAAUCACCACCAAAUACCUCUAUUAAUACUGCAUUUCCAGUUGUUGCUAGAGUCAUGAAAUGUUUCUACUCAGUGGGGCUGUUUUAGAAGUCUGUGUUUCACUACCACUUUAUUAACUGUGUAUAAGAAAUCUUCAGGGCACUCUGUGGUAAUUCAGCCUAACAUUUUGUUCAUGUGUGUGAACUUAGUGCUGAGUUGCCACAGAGUCACCAACAGUGAUGUUUUGCAGUUAGAGAAGGAGGAGGUCAGGAGAAGUGUGAGGGGGGUGAGGGAGAGAGAAAGAGAGAUAUUUUCAGUUCAUGUCAGAAAACCAACCUCAGCUCAUUUAAAUCUCAAGUCCUUUUCAGGUUGGACAAUUUUCGUUAUUUCUCAUUCAAGAUUUUGAAUUUUCCAGGAAGUUAAAAUGUCUUAAAUUAAUGAAUUUAAGUUGCUUAAGAAACUUAUGUGAUAAUACUGACUUUGGUGUCAACAAGGCAAAAUUGUAUCCCUUCAAUAUCUUAUCUUCUUUAUUAUUUCCUUCUAAAGACCCAUAAUGUAAUUUGGUUACCAGGUGUCCAUUAGGUGGCUCCAAAUGGCCAUUUGGAAAUCCGCCUGGAUAUUACUAUAGACUGUGUAAAACAUGGACAUAGUGUCCAUAACAUCACCCAUAGGUGGCGCCGGCCGUCGGCAUCUUGGCCCAACUCCCGGAUAACCAAAACUGGGCAAAGAGGUGGAGCGUGGGUAGAACUGAGGUGCCUGGUUGCUGAAACACACCCACCUAGCUUGAAUUUACCAAGCUAGCUAAGGCUAAGAAGCUAGGCUAUAUGCCACUCUGCGUUGCUAGCCGGCUAACCCUGUGGUAUGCGGUUGGCGGUCUAUGGAUGGUACCUAGUUGUCGUCCCAGCUUACUCUUUCAGUCCUUGUUGAGGUCAUGGCCACCUGUGAGGCUUCCACCAUGCCUGCUACACACAGUAUAAACUUGUGGAUCAUUUGUGAGAGAGCUGCAGAGACCUUGGGAAGCAACCUCAGUAUGCUGGACGUCUGUCUGUUGGUUUUGGGUGGGGUGGACUGCAGAGAAAAGGCCUUGCCUUCUUUUCCCAGUCCCUGCGAGGAAGAGCAGCAUCAUCCGCUGUGGUGGCAACGACAUGAGGGAGGUCAGUAGCGUCAUGCUGGUCAACAUGAUGAAGGAGGACCUGCACCAGCUUCACCUCCAGCACCCUGGCAUGAAGAUCAUGAUUUUGUCUGUGACCCAAAAGGUGCUGGUGGAAGGCUAGUGCCAAUCUGGUGAAGCUUGACAAGGCCAGGAAAUUUGUCAGCAGUGUUAUAGCUACAUUUGUUCCUAGCUUAAAUGGUGUUAUGAUUGAGCAACCUUACAUUAGAAAUGACCGUCUUGGGCUGUUUUUGAAAGAUGGAGUUCAUUUCACCUAGAGGAAAUUAUAUGUUUUUAAAUGCAGUAGCUAAUUGCCUUAAAGACGACCUCCAAAUGCAGUGAACUGCUUACAGUUGGCAGUGUCACUGCUUUUUAAUGUGUCUUUUAGGACCCAUUUUGUUACACCUAAACAUAGCCCAGACCGUCGUGGCUAAUGUUUAGUUUUUUUUCUGUUCAUUAUGGUUGUUAAAAAAUAACAUCUGUAGCCGUAACAACGUUCCCACCUCUGUUCUUCCUCAUUCCUACAAUCCCACCCUUUAUCCCCUUUUCCCCCUACCACCCCAUGGACUCUGCAGCUCUCUGGGCAUAGCAGUUACCUCUUGCACAGGCCCAGUCUGUUGAUUUUAUUUGAAUAAAAGUGUUUACCUUUACAUUUAGUUUUAAAUAUUGUCCAUCUUUUUGUGUUUUGUCCUUUUUAUAAAAAAAAACAUGGUUCACAUUUGAAUAAAUCUAUUUAUAUUUGCACUCCUUUUAUCUUUAUUACUGCCUGAAAAUGUUAGAUUUUACCUUUUAAUCUGACUUACCUGCACACUGAGUAGUUAUGAAUCCCCCUAGGAGGUAUCAUUUAUUUGCAACGCUGCAAACUGAGAACGUCUUCCUCAGGCAAAUACACAGGUAUUGUGAGGCUUUUAGUGAGGUAAAAAGAAACAAUCAGCUGAUCUGUGACAAAUAGGUGCAUUCGAUCAGCCAUGUUUUUUUCUUUUUGCCUCACAAUACCUGUGCAAUACCCACAAGAUCUUCUCAGAGAUCGCAAAUGAAUGACACCUCCUAGGAGGGCUGCAGAACUAUUCAGUGUGUAGAUAAUUGUUUUCACAAGAGUAUAGUUUUUCAGUGAAUGUUCUACAUGUGUCUUAAAGAAUUGUCCUAACAAAACCAGCACAUAACAUUCUUCUCAUUUUUUUCUUUCUGCUAAGAUCUAUGCAAAAUGUAAACCUAUAAAUACCAUCUUAAUAUUUUAAUUUAAUUUAAUUAUUAACUAUUAUUUUGUUAAAAGUUUAGAUCACCCUCUCAUCAUUUUCCAAUAAACAUAGGAAACUGAUGAAUGACAGCUUUUAAGAAUGUGCUUUUACUCUAAAGAAUAUUCAGUCUGAUCCAUUUUAUUAUACAAAAAUGUACCACUACACAAGCAACAAUUUAACAAAUUGGGGCAGCUGUGGUAGAGCGGCCGUCCCCCAAUCGGAAGGUCGGCAGUUCGAUCCUGGCUUCCCCCAACCCGCAUAUCGAAGUGUCCUUGGGCAAGACACUGAACCUUGCUCCCGAGGGCUGUGCCUUUGGUGUGUGUGACUGAUCAGUUAGUUUCUUUGUAUGAAUGUGUAUGAAUGGGGUGAAUGUGAUAUGUAGUGUGAAGCACUUUGAGUAGUCGGAAAGACUAGAAAGGCGCUAUACAAGUACAGUCCAUUUACCGAAUUAAAAUUAUAUCUUGCAUUCAUGAAAACAUCAAUAUUAAAGUUGUUUUGUAUGACUUAAGUACACUUGAAAUACAUGAAUAGAUGUGUAACAGUAAUUAUAAUGAUUAAACCUAUGAAUAUGAACCCAGUGUCAUAAUUUGGCAAAAUCUUAAUGUCUUGUGAAACAGGUGAACCUCAGGAACCUCGCCCUACAGCCCAGCUACCUGUCACCGCAGGCAGCCCUAAGGCAUGCGAACUGCACCUGCCCCAAGCAAUGAGUGCUCUGGUAGGCUUGGCCAUCCACACCAAGCGCCACUCCCCAGAACAGCAUACCCACCUCAACUCUCUCCUUUUCAACACUUCGUAGUCUGUCCCUCCAGUCCUCAUCAGGCUCACGUGCAGCUACUUAUUCUAAUCGGUGACUGCAGCAGCUCCCCUCCCUGACCACAGUUACAGUACCUAGCCAAGUCUAGCAUUAGCAUUACAUUAAUGUUACAUUGCCUGUAUGGUAAGUGUAACAUUAACAAGUUAAGUUAGCAUCGUUAGCACAGCUGGGCAACUUGCUUGAAGGCUAACCAAAGGCUAAUUCAUUAGCUGGCUAAUAAGCCAACAAGCCAUGUAUGAUGAGCGCAGACACCUGCUAAUUAUUGCUAACAUAUAAACAAAACACUAGAAUUUCACUCUCCAAAAAAACUAGAGCACCGACUUCUUGGACAGAUUGUUUGUACAAUUAACCCCACAGCAAGCCAUAUUAUUCUUCAGAUAUUUUCAUGAAAAAGUCUCCAAAAGGCACAAACACGGCCGAGAGGUCAAGUUCAGUGACUCGCUGAGGUGACUGGUGGCUAGCAGACCGUUAGCGGUGACAGCACCGGCUGUCACUCAAAGUGGCCACACCUUUAAUUAUGCUGAACUUUAAACCUUAAUAUAAUUUAAACAGGUGAGUUAUAAAAAAAAAAAAUUCACCCCUCUCACAGCUGUCAUGAAGGGAGAAAUUUACUAUAGAGACCAAAACCAUUAAUUGUACCAUGCUGUACAUGUUUAUUUCUGCUGUAAAGUUGGGCAUUUUAACGUGGGGGUCUUUGGGGAUUGACUCCCUUUUGGAGCCAGCCUCAAGUGGCCAUUCGAAGAACGGCAGUUUUUGGCACUUCGGGUUGGCUUCAUUUUCAGCCCCGGAGAUUGCUUUUGGGAUAUUGCCCUACAAAAACAUUGCUAAAUACAAAUUUUUUGUGGUUUUUCCAUUUACUUUCAACAUGAAUUUGGACAGGGCUUUGGCUGUGGCUCCAUUGAGUUUCUAGGCCUAAAUGCCACAGGUAGCUGUCUACACUCAAAAGUGUUUUUUUAUUUCAGGCGAGAAUGAAAUUGCAAUUUCCACUGUGUUUGAGCUGGUGUUACUCAGUGUCAGGUCAUGCCACAGCAUCUCAAUAGGAUUCAGGUCAGGACUUUGACUAGACCACUCCAAGGUCUUCAUUUUGUUCU